rnacentral:rRNA from 1 species
UACGUAGGGUCCGAGCGUUGUCCGGAAUUAUUGGGCGUAAAGAGCGUGUAGGCGGCUUGGUAGGUCUCGCGUCAAAACCUGAGGCUCAACCUCAGUUCGCGUGGGAAACCACCUAGCUAGAGUCCGGAAGAGGAGAACGGAAUUCCCAGUGUAGCGGUGAAAUGCGCAGAUAUUGGGAAGAACACCAGUGGCGAAGGCGGUUCUCUGGGACGGUACUGACGCUGAGACGCGAAAGCGUGGGGAGCGAACAGG